CCUACGGGUGGCAGCAGUGAGGAAUAUUGGUCAAUGGACGAGAGUCUGAACCAGCCAAGUAGCGUGAAGGAUGACUGCCCUAUGGGUUGUAAACUUCUUUUAUAAAGGAAUAAAACGAGGCACGUGUGCCUUUUUGCAUGUACUUUAUGAAUAAGGAUCGGCUAACUCCGUGCCAGCAGCCGCGGUAAUACGGAGGAUCCGAGCUUUAUCCGGAUUUAUUGGGUUUAAAGGGAGCGUAGAUGGGUUGUUAAGUCAGUUGUGAAAGUUUGCGGCUCAACCGUAAAAUUGCAAUUGAUACUGGCAGUCGUGAGUACAGUUGAGGUAGGCGGAAUUCGUGGUGUAGCGGUGAAAUGCUUAGAUAUCACGAAGAACCCCGAUUGCGAAGGCAGCUUACUAAACUGUGACUGACAUUGAUGCUCGAAAGUGUGGGUAUCAAACAGGAUUAGAUACCCUUGUAGUC
rnacentral:rRNA from 1 species